UAACUUGUUAACGUGUUAGCAGGUUAACGUGUUUGCAGGUUAACGUGUUUGCAGGUUAACUUGUUAACGUGUCAACAGGUUAACGUGUUUUCAGGUUUACAUGUUAACGUGUUUACAGGUUAACGUGUUUACAGGCUAACGUGUUUACAGGUUAACGUGUUAACCUGUAAACUGGUUAAUGUGUUAACCUGUAAACUGGUUAACGUGUUUACAGGUUAACGUGUUUUCAGGUUUACAUGUUAACUUGUUUACUGGUUAACAAGUUAACUGGUUAACAGGUCAGAUGUGAGUCAGCUGGUGUAUUGAUCUUCUGUCGUCUGUUAAAUGUUUUACGUUCUGUUGUUCAGUGAAGUUGUCUCCUGUUUAAAAUAUAAAGUAUAUAUAUAUA